rnacentral:tRNA from 1 species
GCUGUUAGCUCAGUUGGUAGAGCAGCGGACUCUUAAUCCGUAGGUCGAGUGUUCGAGCCACUCACAGCCCACCA